AAUCCGGGCUAGAAGCGACGCAU
rnacentral:snRNA from 1 species